GAUUAGGAGAGUGGUUUGAAGUGAUGCUGGAGAAGAGAAUAAGAAACAGUUGAUGAAGAUUUGUGUGUAGCAAAUGAAGAAGUGUGAGAAAAUCCCCAGAACUGUGAGAAGCUACUGGAAUAAUAUAAGGAUGGAUCUAAUCUGGUUGAAUUCUGACUGCCACAUUACUGGGGAUUGAACUCAAGGCCUCCUGUAUGCUAGCUAGUCUCUACUUCUCAAGUACACCCCCAGCCCUCAUUACAUUCUUAAAAAUCAGGGUCUCCAGCCGUGGGGAACAUGCUGAUCCACUGGACCCCUGCCACGACCACCACCUCUGGCCUCUUGGCUGUACUGCCCCCUGGUUCCACACUACAAAGACACAGAGGACAUUGGACCAGCAGACCACUGUACUGGAAAAUUAUUCUACUUUAGGAAUUUGUCAUCACAUAGAAGAAGCCACCCACAAUGCUGCAGCUCUAUGGAAAGAGAAUUAGGAAUACCAGUAUCUUUGGGUCCAAAUCACACUAAUUUCACCAUGUUUUCUAAAAAAUGUAAUGCAUUGUUCUCCACCAUUAGCUCCUAUGUCUAAUCCUAAUAGAUGCUAAAUUCAAGAAAAAAAAGAAACACCAAAUCAGCCUGCUGCAGACAGGCAGUUCUGUGCAUGCCCUAC
rnacentral:lncRNA from 1 species